AGAUAAAAUCUGAUCAUUUCAAAGCCUAUUUAAAUAACAUAACUGUUUCCUGUUGUUAGGAUUUGCUGCACUAAUUUAGCCCUUAAUUAAAAUUCUAGCGCAGAUUUUGGCAGCUGGAAAUAGAACAGUGCAAUUAGGAAUGCUCCAAAUAUAGCACCAGCUUUUAUUUUUUCCAUGCUACCCUAACUCCUUGCAGUGGGAACAGCCUCAUCUUUUUCUAUGUGUCUUGAUACUCAGGAAAAUGAGUACUACAGGAUAUAAUUGAUUGGGACCCAUUGAAUGGAGUUGAUGCCAGCUGAAAGUCAACCAGCCAGCUGAAGAGAAAAGCUGUGACAUUUUCUCUUACCCCUAUCAACAGUUCCUCUGCUGGUAAAAUAUUUGAAGGUGUCCUGGACACUCCACAAAAAUGCCGGCUUUGCCAUCUGGUGGACAUCCACAAGAACAGCAAGUAGCCUUCGACCCGGAGGGACAAGUCGUUUUGGUUCCCUAAGACACUUCGAAGGCUGAGGAGACUGAUGCUGUGGGGAGAGUGAGGGAACACGAUGCUCAGUGGGAUGGUGUCUUAAGUUUUGAUAGGUAUUUAUUUAGCACUUAGCAUAGGGGUCUAAAGCUGAAAUCUGUCAGAUCUACAAAAAUGUAAACAGCAGUGAUUAGUGUGGUGAGAAGAGUACAUCUGUACCUCUUUAAAAAUAGUGCCCUUUUAGGAUGUUCAAGCCUCCGAGUUUAUUUAGGUAAGAUAAAUAAUAGAAUCCUGCAGUUAGAAUAUGAACUUCAAACUCUCAGCUGAUCUCUUUCCCAGGGAUAGCUCACAAGUGAAUUGGGUGGUUCCAUUUUGUGCAUUUUUUCUGUCAGUAAUGAGUAUCUGUCAUAAUACUGGGGGAGUUCCCACAGUCAUUUGAACCCUGUUUGUUGUGGCUUACAACGACAGUGAAGGCACAGGGAUGUGUUUUAAAAUGCACUCAGCUGAACUAAAGCUGAUGCAUAAAAGCAGAGUAACAAAUCAUGGCUGUAAUAUUUUAGUUCACAGAUAUCCACCUGGCACUGCAGAAAUUGCAGAAGGAUCUCACAGUGAACUAGCAAAACAGUGUUUUGUAGGUGUUACAAGCAUACAAGUAUAUUGUGGGAUGGCUCUACAUUGCUUUACAUCCUUGGCUUGGGUCUCAGGCAAGGUCAGCCCUUUUCGCCAUGUCCUCAUAGGACUUAACAUGACAAAGAGAAACAGCAUGCUUUGCAAAAUGCAGAGCCCAGUUUCAAGGACCAUACCAUCCUUGAAUAUUAAAAAUUGGACACAGCAUCCCAGCUGGGGCACAGACAGCUUCAAGGAGAGCUGAAGAAUCACUUAAUGGUUUUGCGGGUGGUAACACUGGCUAUAAAUUGCAAUAAGGGUUUGCCUUUUUUACAGGAGUAUAACAUUGUUUACUUCUGUUCAGCCUAUGAUCUAUGUUAAUAUCCAAAUCUUUUUGUCAUGUUCUUACAUAGCUUGGCAUUCCUCACCUUAUGUUUUUGCAGUUUAUUACUCUUGCCUAAGUAUGGUGAUCUAUUUGUUUUUAUUGACUUGCCUCAACUCCUCCUGAAGUUGUUCUACAACAUAUAACCUGUUAUUUUUGAUUGGCAAAAAUACCUGCCCACAGUAACAGUGAGUAAAGCAACAUGUUUAUUUAAAAAGAACCUGCUCUAUUCUCUAGAGAGAAGUCUAACAAAUUAAAUAUUCACAUCUUUUU